rnacentral:tRNA from 2 species
CGGGCUCAUAGCUCAAUUGGUAGAGCGCUUGCUUUGCACGCAAGAGGUUAGGAGUACCCUUCCCGA